rnacentral:lncRNA from 14 species
AUAUUCAAAGCAUUUGACUUCAAUGUGUCCCAUUUAUACAUAAAUGAUGGUACAUUUACUUGGUUCCAUUUUUUGUGCAACUGCCUCCCUUCGGUAAAGAAUAAGUUUUCAGGCAUUCAAAGAUCCUGUUUUCCAGAGGGUCAGGAGCCUUUCUGAUGUUCUGCAUUUUCAGUAAGUGAGACAUCUGAUAAAGUAAGAUCUCUAUGGUUCGUUCCUAUACUUGUUGACAGCCUUGUCACAAGCUUUGCAAGAGAUCUACCCCCACCGUCAGCUGAUAAACUGAUCUCUCAAGGACUUAGUGCUUCACUAGGGAAUGCCUGGAACUGACCUUCUCUUCCUCUUAGAGGUUUUAUCCCAUAAGCUUUUGUUCUGUGUUUGAUUUGUCAUUUCUGACUGCUUUCAUAUGUGAUAUGUAUCAACAGACAAAGUAGGGACAUUAUUUACAGCCAACAAAUUGUCUUCAGCUUUAGGAUUCCAGUUGUAUAAAGUGUAUGAUUUCACGUGCAGAAUUAUAUCUCUUCUCUGACUUACAUGUUUAAGAAUGUUUUAAUUGUAGGUGAAAUACUUCUGAAGACCAUAGCAGCUCUAUAUGAUUUUGCUAUAGCAUGUUCAAGAGUGAGAGUGAACAUGUGAAUUCUUUGAUUACCUGAGGAAUAGAUCUUCACAUCCCCACAAGACUGACAGCUGGAAUGAAGAGGGAUGUAUUUAAACACCACUGCACAGAACUAUUGGGAAAUUAUCAAGAUCCCAAGAAGGCUGAAAAUCACUGGGAGGACAUGGGAGUGUGUGCCUGCCUGCGGAUGCUCUGCAGUUCCCAAUACCCGGACAGUGAAGGAAUAAACGCAGGAACUCUCUUCCUACAAUAGUAAGUUGAAAGGAGGGGUCCUGUCCUGGGCUUUGAAGCUUAGCAA